rnacentral:rRNA from 1 species
UACGGGAGGGGCAAGCGUUGUUCGGAAUUACUGGGCGUAAAGGGUUCGUAGGUGGCCAACUAAGUCAGACGUGAAAUCCCUCGGCUUAACCGGGGAACUGCGUCUGAUACUGGAUGGCUUGAGAUUGGGAGAGGGAUGCGGAAUUCCAGGUGUAGCGGUGAAAUGCGUAGAUAUCUGGAGGAACACCGGUGGCGAAGGCGGCAUCCUGGACCAACACUGACGCUGAGUGAGCGAAAGCCAGGGGAGCAAACGGG